rnacentral:lncRNA from 1 species
CUUGUCACAAGACAUACCUAUUAAAUGGUAAUCUACUUCACUAUAGUAAACACUACCUAAAUGUGUCUCAUAGUAUCACGUUAUAAAUCUCAGAUAUACACAAUAAAAUUCAUUCCCUCCCAAAAAAAACCCCCAGCAAAUCACAAAGUGUGUCAAUAGUGGGAAAAUAGAAAUGCAUAAAAUGGAAAUUGUUCAGAAGUGGGGUGAUCAAUUCAGGUCAGAGGGCAAGGAGGCCUGAGACAGAUUCCCAGAGAAAGUACCAUGGGAAGUGGGUCUGAAAGGAAGACUUGCAGAUGGCGUUGGUCAGAUGGUGUUGGGGAGAGCUGGGUCGGGAGAGGGAGGGACUCCGGGGAAAGACAGGGAAGGUCCCUGGGCUAUGGCGAGUUGGAAGAGCAUGGUGUGUUCAGGGGUCUGGAAACAGAGCAGGAGAGUCGGGGUGUUAUGUGGAAAAUGAGGCUAGAGGUCAGCAGGGCUCAACAGGAGCACUCAACACCAACAUAAGGAGCUCCGAUUUAUCCUGAGUCUAACGGGGAGUUUUUAGGGCUGUUCAGACUGAGGAGAGAAGAGACUGCGUCAGCGUAUUAGAACUGGUGCGUGCUCAGCAGAGUGUGGGUUGAAUAAGAGGGGAGGAGAGGCUGAUUAUUUGCUGCAUUUUCCUUCCAUGACCCCAGGUCCAUGCCCAGCCCUUUGCGGACCUGCUCUGGGCCCCAGGAGGCUGAACUUGCAGAUGCAUCUUCUGGGCUCCCUUGAGCCAGGCUUCUGGGCUCGCCCAUGGGAAACACCAGCAGGGAGAAGGGUCAAGGGUGAAUGGAGGCCUGGAGAGAGGAAUGGCCUUUGCAGUAAUCCGAGAGAUGUUUGCAGAGGGAGUGUGGGUGACAGAGAGGUCCCCAAAAUGAAGAAUCCAGGAGGAGAUGCUCACAGGGACAAUUUCAAUCACCUGAGUUAGAGGGGCCUGUGGGACAUCAGGAGCUGUCCAGGAAGCAGACGGAUGAUGGAUCCGGCCUCGAGUUUAGCCAAGGCACCAGCAGCAUGGAGCUAAUAACAGAUAAAGACCAUGAACAACAGAGACAUCCACUGAACUUCCCACAAGCUCAUCUCCCUGGCUGUGUUAAUAAUUUAUGGAUAUUAAAAGAAGUAGAGUUAUCAUGACCCAAGAGCUCACAGAAGCCUCUGUUCAGAAACUGCCUGCUUUGUACCUUGAUUGGCUGCCCCCCCCUUAAAGAGGUAGGGGUUUGUUUUUCAAACCCACAGUUUUUCACUGGUGUUCCAUCUAGUCGUUCCUAUUUUUCACCACCAGAUUGUUUGCUGGGGAAAAGAACAAAAACAGCAACAGAUGUCUUUGUUUGGGGGUUUUGCAAAACUCUGUGGUUAAGAUAACACUUUCAAUUAAAGAAAUUGUAUCAUCCAAAUACCAUAUGCCUACAAGCCUCAAUUGCAAAAAUCACCUGCUUUCAAAAAUUGAAGAGUCCCUCUAACUACCACCACCCAGCUCAGUUGGGCAUUGAAGCAGGUCCUUUCUUGUCUUUCCUCUAGAAUCUUAAGAAGAUUCUUAAGAAGCUGGUCAAGAUGGACACUCUCUGAUUUGUCCUCCAUGGACACUCACCGGCAAUUCCUCAGCAUACACACACACACACACACACACACACACACACAAACACAUGCGUGCGCACCUGAAUGUGUGUAGCCUGUGUUAUUCAUUACGCAACAGAGCUGGGCUCAUUUCAGGCACUUAGCAAGCAACUGUGGAGUCAGUUCAUUCAUUUCUUCUUUCCUUCCUCCCUCUCUCUGUUUCUUCUAUAGCUCCACAUUUUCUGAACUAACUCUGCCACAUCGGUGCUAAGAACUGAGAGCAAAGAGAAGUGAGAAGAUUUCCUGGCCUCAGGACACUCACCAUCUAGGGGACAGAUGGGCAAAUGAGAAGAGAAUUCUAAUCUCAGGAGUAACAUGAGAUUUUUUAAAGAACCAGCAAGAACCAGUGCUCUUUCUUUUAUGGUUCCUUCUUUCUACAGUGCCAAGAACUCAAUAGAUGCU